AGCAGCAGCCGCGGUAAAACGUAGGGUGCGAGCGUUGUCCGGAAUUAUUGGGCGUAAAGAGCUUGUAGGCGGUUUGUCGCGUCUGCUGUGAAAAUUCAGGGCUUAACCCUGGACGUGCAGUGGGUACGGGCAGACUAGAGUGUGGUAGGGGAGACUGGAAUUCCUGGUGUAGCGGUGGAAUGCGCAGAUAUCAGGAGGAACACCGAUGGCGAAGGCAGGUCUCUGGGCCAUUACUGACGCUGAGAAGCGAAAGCAUGGGGAGCGAACAGGAUUAGAUACCCCAGUAGUCCCUGUCUCUUAUAC
rnacentral:rRNA from 1 species